UCGAACGAAGCGCUUGGAUGGAAUUCUUUGGAAGGAAGCUCAAGUGACUGAGUGGCGGACGGGUGAGUAACGCGUGGGUAACCUGCCUCAUACAGGGGGAUAACAGUUAGAAAUGACUGCUAAUACCGCAUAAGCACACGUGAUCGCAUGAUCGAGUGUGAAAAACUCCGGUGGUAUGAGAUGGACCCGCGUCUGAUUAGCUAGUUGGUGGGGUAAUGGCCCACCAAGGCGACGAUCAGUAGCCGGCCUGAGAGGGUGAACGGCCACAUUGGGACUGAGACACGGCCCAAACUCCUACGGGAGGCAGCAGUGGGGAAUAUUGCACAAUGGGGGAAACCCUGAUGCAGCGACGCCGCGUGAAGGAUGAAGUAUUUCGGUAUGUAAACUUCUAUCAGCAGGGAAGAAAAUGACGGUACCUGACUAAGAAGCCCCGGCUAACUACGUGCCAGCAGCCGCGGUAAUACGUAGGGGGCAAGCGUUAUCCGGAUUUACUGGGUAUAAAGGGAGCGUAGACGGCAGUGCAAGUCUGAAGUGAAAGCCCGGGGCUCAACCCCGGGACUGCUUUGGAAACUGUGCAGCUAGAGUGUCGGAGAGGCAAGCGGAAUUCCUAGUGUAGCGGUGAAAUGCGUAGAUAUUAGGAGGAACACCAGUGGCGAAGGCGGCUUGCUGGACGAUGACUGACGUUGAGGCUCGAAAGCGUGGGGAGCAAACAGG
rnacentral:rRNA from 1 species